rnacentral:tRNA from 1 species
AUCCAUUGGUUAUACCGCACAGGUUCGAAUCCUGUCAGUCGCCGGCUGUGUCCGAGUGGUCAAGGAGAUGGACUCGAA